GAGGAGGAAGGAAUGGGCAACGGUAGGUCAGCAUGCCCCGAAUUAUCUGGGCUACACGCGGGCUACAAUGGGUGGGACAAUGGGUAUCGACACCGAAAGGUGAAGGCAAUCUCCUAAACCCAUCCGUAGUUCGGAUUGCGGGCUGCAACUCGCCCACAUGAAGCUGGAAUCUGUAGUAAUCGUGUCUCAAAAUGGCACGGUGAAUAUGUCCCUGCUCCUU
rnacentral:rRNA from 1 species